GAUGAACGCUAGCGGCAGGCUUAACACAUGCAAGUCGUGGGGCAGCGCGGACUUCGGUCUGGCGGCGACCGGCAAACGGGUGCGGAACACGUACGCAACCUCCCUCAGAGCGGGGAAUAGCCUCUCGAAAGAGAGAUUAAUACCCCAUAGUAUCUUGAAGACACAUGUCUAUGAGAUUAAAGCUUCGGCACUUUGAGAUGGGCGUGCGGCUGAUUAGGUAGUUGGUAGGGUAACGGCCUACCAAGCCGACGAUCAGUAGCUGAUGUGAGAGCAUGAUCAGCCACACGGGCACUGAGACACGGGCCCGACUCCUACGGGAGGCAGCAGUGAGGAAUAUUGGUCAAUGGAGGAAACUCUGAACCAGCCAUGCCGCGUGGAGGAUGAAGGUCCUCUGGAUUGUAAACUCCUUUUAAUAAAAGAAGAAACCCCAUUUUUCAAAUGGGUUACGGUACUUUAUGAAUAAGCACCGGCUAACUCCGUGCCAGC
rnacentral:rRNA from 1 species